rnacentral:rRNA from 1 species
UACGGAGGAUGCAAGCGUUAUCCGGAUUUAUUGGGUUUAAAGGUGCGCAGGUUGUUUGUAUAAGUCAGUGGUGAAAGUCUGUCGCUUAACGGUAGGAUUGCCAUUGAUACUGUUGGACUUGAAUAUGGAUGAGGUAGGCGGAAUGUGUAGUGUAGCGGUGAAAUGCAUAGAUAUUACACAGAACACCGAUUGCGAAGGCAGCUUACUAUGCCUUUAUUGACACUGAUGCACGAAAGACGUGGGGAGUCAAACA